AGAAUCAACGCUGGCGGCGUGCCUAACACAUGCAAGUCGAACGAGAAAGUGGAGCAAUCCAUGAGUAAAGUGGCGCACGGGUGAGUAACACGUGACUAACCUACCCUUGAGUGGGGAAUAACUUCGGGAAACCGAGGCUAAUACCGCAUAACACCUACGGGUCAAAGGAGCAAUUCGCUUAAGGAGGGGGUCGCGGCAGAUUAGUUAGUUGGCGGGGUAAUGGCCCACCAAGACGGUGAUCUGUAUCCGGCCUGAGAGGGCGCACGGACACACUGGAACUGAAACACGGUCCAGACUCCUACGGGAGGCAGCAGUGGGGAAUUUUGCGCAAUGGGGGAAACCCUGACGCAGCAACGCCGCGUGGAGGAUGAAGUCCCUUGGGACGUAAACUCCUUUCGAUCGGGACGAUUAUGACGGUACCGGAAGAAGAAGCCCGGCUAACUUCGUGCCAGCAGCCGC
rnacentral:rRNA from 1 species